AUAGGGAUGAGACAUGAGUGUUGU
rnacentral:siRNA from 1 species